rnacentral:rRNA from 1 species
CCUACGGGAGGCAGCAGUGGGGAAUAUUGGGCAAUGGGCGCAAGCCUGACCCAGCAACGCCGCGUGAAGGAAGAAGGCUUUCGGGUUGUAAACUUCUUUUCUGAGGGACGAAGAAAGUGACAGUACCUCAGUAAUAAGCCACGGCUAACUACGUGCCAGCAGUCGCGGUAAUACGUCGGUGGCAAUCGUUAUCCGGAUUUAUUGGGUGUAAAGGGAGUGUAGGCGGGAAAGCAAGUCAGAUGUGAAAAGUUGGGGCUCAACCCUGAGCCUGCAUUUGAAACUGUUUUUCUUGAGUGCUGGAGAGGUAAUCGGAAUUCCGUGUGUAGCGGUGAAAUGCGUAGAUAUACGGAGGAACACCAGUGGCGAAGGCAGACUGCUGGACAGUCACUGACGCUGAGGCGCGAAAGCGUGGGGAGCAAACAGGAUUAGAUACCCCGGUAGUC